rnacentral:rRNA from 1 species
CAGCAGCCGCGGUAAUACGGAGGGCGCGAGCGUUACCCGGAUUUACUGGGCGUAAAGGGCGUGUAGGCGGCCUGGGGCGUCCCAUGUGAAAGGCCACGGCUCAACCGUGGAGGAGCGUGGGAUACGCUCAGGCUAGAGGGUGGGAGAGGGUGGUGGAAUUCCCGGAGUAGCGGUGAAAUGCGCAGAUACCGGGAGGAACGCCGACGGCGAAGGCAGCCACCUGGUCCACUUCUGACGCUGAGGCGCGAAAGCGUGGGGAGCAAACCGGAUUAGAUACCCCCGUAGUCCCUGUCUCUUAUAC